rnacentral:rRNA from 1 species
UUUUACAAUGCACGCAAGUGUGAUAAGGGGACUCUCAGUGCUCAUGCAAUGCAUGGGCUUUUGCCAAGAGUAAAUAUCUUGGCGAAUAAGGGGUGGGUAAGACGGGUGCCAGCCGCCGCGGUAACACCUGCGCCCCAAGUGGCAAUCAUGUUUAUUGGGCCUAAAGCGUUCGUAGCCGGAAUAGUCAGUCUUGGGUGAAAUUGCUGCGCUUAACAAAGCAACGUGCUUGAGAUACUGCUAUUCUAGAGACCGGGAGGCGUGAAGGGUAUUUUUGAGGGAGCGGUAAAAUGCGAUAAUCUCAAGAGGACCACCUGUGGCGAAGGCGCUUCACGAGAACGGGUCUGACGGUGAGGGACGAAAGCUAGGGGAGCAAACGGGAUUAG